AGGGGUAUAGCCAAGCGGUAAGGCAACAGGUUUUGAUCCUGUCAUGCGGAGGUUCGAAUCCUCCUACCCCUGCCA
rnacentral:tRNA from 1 species